GUGCGGGGCCGCCCCAUAAACGAUCCCAAAGUCCACGGAAAUGUGUGGGGCCGCCCCAUAAGUGAUCCCAAAGUCCAUCAGAAAUGUGUGGGGCUGCCCCAUAAGUGACCCCCCCCCUCUCCCCGCCCCCCAAGAUCCCGCUGUGGGGCAGAGGAACGGCACUUGUGGGGCGCAGGGAAGGGCCCCCCCCCACCCCCCACCCCACAACCCGCCCCACAUCCCCGCCCCACAUCCCCGCCCCACACUUAUGGGGCGUUACCUCGGGGUCUGGGGGGCGCUCGGGGGGCGGCCCCACAUCCAUGGCUGCUGCCGGCUCCUGCCUAUGGGGCGGGAAAAAGGGGGGGGGGGAAAUCAGUGGGGCUGGACCCACACUUGUGGGGCGGGGGGGAAAAGCUCUGCCCCAUAGAUCUGUGCUUCUGCCCCACGGAUCGCUUCCUGCCCCAUAGAGCUGUGCUUCUGCCCCAUAGAUCUGCGGCUCUGCCCCAUAGAUCUGUGCUUCUGCCCCACGGAUUGUUUCCUGCCCCAUAGAGCUGUGCUUCUGCCCCAUAGAUCUGCGGCUCUGCCCCACGGAUUGUUUCCUGCCCCAUAGAUCUGUGCUUCCUGCCCCACGGAUUGCUUCCUGCCCCACAGAGCUGUGCUUCUGCCCCAUAGAUCGCUUCCUGCCCCAUAGAGCUGUGCUUCUGCCCCAUAGAUCGUCCCAGCGCCCCAUAGAUCUAUGGCUCUGCCCCAUAGAUGGCUUCCUGCCCCAUAGAUCUGUGCCUCUGCCCCAUAGAUGGCUUCCUGCCCCAUAGAUAUGUGGCUCUGCCCCACAGAUGGCUUCCUGCCCCAUAAAUCUGUGCCUCUGCCCCACAGAUUCCCUCCAGCUCCCCAUAGAUCACUUCCUGCCCCAUAGAUCUGUGGCUCUGCCCCAUAGACCUGUGCUUCUGCCCCAUAGGUGGCUUCCUGCCCCACAGAUCCCCCCAGCGCCCUGUAGAUCGCUUCCUGCCCCAUAGAUCUGGGACUCUGCCCCAUAGAUCUGUGCUUCUG
rnacentral:lncRNA from 1 species